rnacentral:rRNA from 1 species
UACGUAGGGUGCGAGCGUUAAUCGGAAUUACUGGGCGUAAAGCGUGCGCAGGCGGUUUUGUAAGACAGGCGUGAAAUCCCCGGGCUCAACCUGGGAAUGGCGCUUGUGACUGCAAAGCUGGAGUGCGGCAGAGGGGGAUGGAAUUCCGCGUGUAGCAGUGAAAUGCGUAGAUAUGCGGAGGAACACCAAUGGCGAAGGCAAUCCCCCUGGGGCCCGUCG